rnacentral:lncRNA from 13 species
GUUCCCCUCACACCUGGUUUUCAUUCCCUAAUCAAUCUACAUGUAUUUAUUCCUCUGUUCCCGGAAAAACAAACCAGUAUGGCGCAUCACCAACGAACAAGUAACACAAACAAUCUCACACAAAGACAUCAUCAUGUAUAUAUCUGAAAAACUUGAUUAGUCUAUUCCAUCAUAGAUGGGAAGUCUAAAGUAUUGCACCAAGUACUGAGUGUAAAAUUACAAAGCAGACAUUAUUUUUUAUUUGAUAUCAAUUAUUGUGCUUUUAAGCUAAUUUAUUGAUCGUUUAUAGACUUAUAUGGAUGUUUCUAGAUGCUUUAUAGAGGGGCUGUAGUCGAUGUGUUUCUUCUCUGCGUUUCCUCAGGUGUCUCCUACUGUGCUGUUAACACAACCGCAGCUGAAGAGGGGCAGGGGAAGGAAGAGGAAGCCUUGGCGAGGGAAAAUGAUCAUAAAGAUGAUUCGGUAUUGUAGGACGCUGUGGGCCAGAGGAUCACUGUGGAUGAAGAGAAACAAAUAUCUAGACAAUGAGCAUUGGAUGACAAAAGGAACAAUCUACCACUUUAUUGUACCCAUUAAAAGAAUGUUACAUCCCGAUCUGAGAAAUAGAGGAGAAUCAAGUCAGAAGUUUCAAAGUGGAAAUUACAAACUUCAGAAGCCUUUUUAA